GCUUAUGCGUUGUUGGGUAGGGGAGCGUUCUGUAAGCCUGUGAAGGUGUGUCGUGAGGCAUGCUGGAGGUAUCAGAAGUGCGAAUGCUGACAUAAGUAACGAUAAAGCGGGUGAAAAGCCCGCUCGCCGGAAGACCAAGGGUUCCUGUCCAACGUUAAUCGGGGCAGGGUGAGUCGACCCCUAAGGCGAGGCCGAAAGGCGUAGUCGAUGGGAAACGGGUUAAUAUUCCCGUACUUGGUGUUACUGCGAAGGGGGGACGGAGAAGGCUAUGUUGGCCGGGCGACGGUU
rnacentral:rRNA from 1 species